UACGAAGGGGGCUAGCGUUGCUCGGAAUUACUGGGCGUAAAGCGUGCGCAGGCGGUUAUGUAAGACAGAUGUGAAAUGCCCGGGCUUAACCUGGGAACUGCAUUUGUGACUGCAUGGCUAGAGUUUGGCAGAGGGGGGUAGAAUUCCACGUGUAGCAGUGAAAUGCGUAGAUAUGUGGAGGAACACCGAUGGCGAAGGCAGCCCCCUGGGUCAAGACUGACGCUCAUGCACGAAAGGCGUGGGGAGCAAACAGG
rnacentral:rRNA from 1 species